rnacentral:misc_RNA from 1 species
GAGGAUCAAUCGAAUGUGAAUCAAGUUUUUUCUGCUUGCAAGAAUGAUUCUCCGUUUGAGUUUGUUGGUUUGAGGAGCAUGAAAAUCAAACAUACUCCUGUGAUGUUUCGUUGGAAUUCCGGGAGAAAUCAUACCUCAAAUCCAUGGAAAAUCCAUGGAGAUUUGAUUCCUUCCUGGAUCACGCCACCCCGGGGUGAUGUUGUCUUGCCUCAAUUUCGGGAAUCUAGGGAGUGUGUUGUGGAAAAAUGUAAGGUGGUGAUCAAGAAUAAUGAAAAAACUGAGGGGCUUUGGGGAAAAAAACCUGAAUCAGGUAUAUUGUGGACUGAACAGGCCGAAUCGGCUCAUUUA